GCUUGCACCUGGUGGCGAGUGCGGACGGGUGAGUAAUACAUCGGAACGUAUCCUAAAGUGGGGGAUAACGCAUCGAAAGAUGUGCUUAAUACCGCAUAUACUCUGAGGAGGAAAGUAGGGGAUCGAAAGACCUUAUGCUUUUGGAGCGGCCGAUGUCUGAUUAGCUAGUUGGUAAGGUAAUGGCUUACCAAGGCAACGAUCAGUAGUUGGUCUGAGAGGAUGUCCCCCCACACUGGUACUGAGACACGGACCAGACUCCUACGGGAGGCAGCAGUAGGGAAUAUUGGGCAAUGGACGCAAGUCUGACCCAGCCAUGCCGCGUGCAGGAAGACGGCCCUCUGGGUUGUAAACUGCUUUUAUCAGGGAAGAAACCCUUCUACGUGUAGGAGGCUGACGGUA
rnacentral:rRNA from 1 species